AUCAAAGUAAAUGGGACAAAAGUCAGUGAGUGAACCCUAGAUACUUGAUGUACUUUACGUUUUGUCCUGUAAACGCAUUAGCUUCAUAGUCUGAAAACGACAAUCAUGAGACAACGGACCCCUGGGUGCAGACACGUGAAGGGCCCCUCAAUCCUCUUUACAUAGGUGCAAGACACCAACAAAACUACUACAAACAAUGCAGCAGAAACAAAUGUCUGGAACCCGGGUGCCACUCCAAACCCAAGCUGGUCAAUGAAGGACGGCUCGUCCUGACUGUGGAUCUGAACUUUGACCCCAGCUUCAAAUGAUGUCUCAUCUGCAGGAAAACAAAGUGUGUAACACACUGUGAAAAAAGGCAUUUCUCUAGACACUUGAAGGAGGUUUCUGUCAGAGUUUCACACUCUGAGGUACUCAUCCUGCUGAAUGUCCAGCAUAAGCUCAAGUCCAUUACCCAUGCCUCCCUUGGUGGUGAUGAGGGGAGUGCGUCCUUCACCGCCUGCAUUAAAGGUGUAACACUUCCCAUACCGAGUGAAG